rnacentral:rRNA from 1 species
AACGCGAAGAACCUUACCUAGGCUUGACAUAUAGGAGACCGCAUCAGAGAUGAUGCUUUCCCGCAAGGGACUCUUAAACAGGUGCUGCAUGGCUGUCGUCAGCUCGUGCCGUGAGGUGUUGGGUUAAGUCCCGCAACGAGCGCAACCCUUGUCGUUAGUUGCCAGCGCGUAAAGGCGGGCACUCUAGCGAGACUGCCUCGGUUAACGAGGAGGAAGGUGAGGAUGACGUCAAGUCCGCAUGGCCCUUAUGCCUAGGGCUACACACGUACUACAAUGGUCGGUACAGAAGGCAGCAAAGCCGCGAGGUGGAGCAAAUCCCAAAAACCGGCCUCAGUUCAGAUUGUAGUCUGCAACUCGACUACAUGAAGAUGGAAUUGCUAGUAAUGGCAAGUCAGCAUGAUUGCCGUGAAUACGUUCCCGGGCCUUGUACACACCGCACGA